GUUCAGGACCUUCCCACUGAGCUACAUCAUCAGCCCAUUUUUUAAUUUUAUAUUUUGAAAUAGUUUCUCCCUAAGUCUCUGAGCUGCCCAGGUUAGUAUUGAACUUGAGAUUCUCCUUCCUUAACCUUCCAGGGUACUGCUGGGACUAUAAGGAUAUGCUCAUGAACUUGCCUGAAUUCAAAAUACUGGAAGAAAUUAACCUUCACCUCUUGGCUAUCAUGAUGAAAAGAAUUGGUACAGUUGCACCCAGGAGGCAGAGUCAUUCAGAAGCACAAAGGCAUUUUGAUGACCACUAUAAAUUCUUCAACUUAUUCGCUUGUAGAGUGUGGUGGUUAAUUAUGACUGUCAACUUGAUCGGAUGAAGAGAUACGGGCACAUUAGUCAAGCAUACUUCCCAGGGUAUCUGUGGGAGUGUCCAGAGACUAUUGGCAGGUGGGUCAGCAAACUGAGGGGGAAGACAUGCCCUGGGCAGGGUAGCACCAUUUAAUAGGUUUGCAUCCCAGAUUGAAUGAAAGGGAAGAAGGAAAAUGUCAACCCAUUUUGGUAAAGUGCUACUCUGCUUGGUUGGGUGCAUCUUUUGUCAUUGCCCAUGGCCAUUGACUCCAAUCUCUUCAGCCUGUCAAUCUGGGCUCAUCGCAGUGACUUUCUAGUGAGCUUCUAGGCUUUCAGUCUCAGACUGGCCCUGCAUCCUUGAUCUCGCUUGUUCUGUGGCUCCCAGUUUCCUGGACUGAGCAGCUGCUGGAUCUUGUAGUGCUUACUCUUCAGUGCUCAGAUGGCCAUUGUGUUCUCUCCCACCUCUGUGCCUGUAAACCUGUCCAAUUAGAGAACCUAAACAGUGCAUCAAGGUAUAAGGAUGUUGAUCAUUAUUAGAUCCUAUCAACCCACUCAUUCAUUUUACAACACUGGACUUAGUAGUGAACAAAACAUGC
rnacentral:lncRNA from 1 species